rnacentral:rRNA from 1 species
CCUACGGGACGCAGCAGUGGGGAAUAUUGCACAAUGGGGGAAACCCUGAUGCAGCGACGCCGCGUGAGUGAGGAAGUAUUUCGGUAUGUAAAGCUCUACCAGCAGGGAAGAAAAUGACGGUACCUGACCAAGAAGCCCCGGCUAACUACGUGCCAGCAGCCGCGGUAAUACGUAGGGGGCAAGCGUUAUCCGGAUUUACUGGGUGUAAAGGGAGCGUAGGCGGCUGUGUAAGCCAGAAGUGAAAGCCCGGGGCCCAACCCCGGGACUGCUCUUGGAACUGCGGGGCUGGAGUGCAGGAGGGGCAG